rfam:Alligator sinensis unplaced genomic scaffold scaffold301_2, whole genome shotgun sequence
ACAGCUUUGGACAAAAGUCUAUAGCCAGUGCAUUCGUAACUCCCCAUACACAAGAGCUGACUGUGGCUGUGGGAAGACAUUUUACUCAUUUGCUUUCCUCUUUCUUAUAGUUUUCUUGUCCUGUUCUCAGGUGUUUACCACCUAUUAGAAUUUCACCUGUAAUGGGUCCUGUGUUUGAGAAAGUCCCAGGACUUGUCAUCUGGUAUAGGCCUCAUAAAGACAGCUCU